UCGUAGAUACUUGGGUGAGAGUGGUC
rnacentral:misc_RNA from 1 species